GCUAGGAUGGCCGAGCGCAUAAGGCGGUGGACUUAAGAUCCCCUGAAGUGUAUCCCUGUGUGGGUUCGAACCCACUCACAGCA
rnacentral:tRNA from 1 species